AGAGUUUGAUCCUGGCUCAGAACGAGCGCUGGCGGCAGGCCUAACACAUGCAAGUCGAGCGCACCUUCGGGUGAGCGGCGGACGGGUUAGUAACGCGUGGGAAUAUACCCAAAGGUACGGAAUAGCCUCGGGAAACUGAGAGUAAUACCGUAUGUGCCCUUCGGGGGAAAGAUUUAUCGCCUUUGGAUUAGCCCGCGUUGGAUUAGAUAGUUGGUGGGGUAAUGGCCUACCAAGUCUACGAUCCAUAGCUGGUUUGAGAGGAUGAUCAGCAACACUGGGACUGAGACACGGCCCAGACUCCUACGGGAGGCAGCAGUGGGGAAUCUUAGACAAUGGGCGAAAGCCUGAUCUAGCCAUGCCGCGUGAGUGACGAAGGCCUUAGGGUCGUAAAGCUCUUUCGCCAGGGAUGAUAAUGACAGUACCUGGUAAAGAAACCCCGGCUAACUCCGUGCCAGCAGCCGCGGUAAU
rnacentral:rRNA from 1 species